AAUAUAAAAACUGUGACUCACCUUCUCACACACUCUUUUGUCCACACACGGGUUCCAACCCUCCCGACACAUUUCUUGGAACCGGUGUUCUACAAAAGAAAACUCCCAACACUUUCACAUUACCAGUACAAGAAAGAAAGAAAGAAGAAAAUUGGUACUUACACCAAUUUAUUGCUGCCAAUUAUCAGACUUACUUUUAUUUUAAUUAAUUAUCUAUGUAAUAAAUUAAAAAAUAGACCCUACACUUCCAUAAAUAAUCAAUAAAAACAUUCAGUUGCCAUAAUUCACUCCAGCAAAUCAAAUUGGAGUACAUUAAUUCGAACAACCUCGAACAGAGAAUGCCCAUCACGCCAAGUGACCUCAUCAUCCACCCUGGCAUGCACGCACUCUCUCUACCCUCUAGAGGGAGAGAGAGGGGGAGACAAAACCUCGAUCAGAGAAUACCCUUUGAGUGAAUUGUUCCUUUGGGAGGUGAAGACCCAAAUAUGAUGGGUAUGCAUCUCUGUGGUCACUGUUGAACUCAAAGUGCACUUAUACUUCGUGAGAGUUCGUCUAAAUGUGGAGGGCAACUGUUGUCUUGGAAUGUUUUCCUACAAAACAGAGUCCAUGACUCGAGAUAGUGGCUCCAUAGUGUAGAUGUUAGCAUGGGAUUCUAUGGAAGAGAUAGAAGCUACUUUUCUAAUGUGUGUUGUGAGUAGUAUUUGACUGCCACAAUUAUUGUUGGGUAAUGUAUUUUAAAGCAUCCGAUGCAUUUAUACUCCACACAUCAUCAAGACCAAGCACGUACCUUCUCAGUUGGAGGAAAUCCUUGAGUUGUGCCUUCAGAUUAUUGUUGUCCAUGGAUUCCAAUCUUUGAGGUGCCAGCUUCUUGACUCAUUAAAGAGUUGUUGAAUUAAGUCUUUGAGAAGCUCUCUGAGAUCAAAGGAUUGUGAACCAGUGAUCCAAGCAUGGCUUUUAAAAUGAUUCUUCACCUCGAUAUUAUCAUAGACUUUCAUCAAUGCCCACAAGCUCUGCUUCUUCCAGUAGCAGUGAAUCACCGCGACGAUCAUACCACGUGUUAUUGACAGUAUUGGAGCUUGAGCUUUGCUCUGAGACGUUAAAUUUGUAACAGUAUUUCUGAUGUCACUCAGCAAUUAUAUUCACUCUAGACCUUAUUAUUUGUAUCUUCGAAGCAAUUCGAUGGUGAGCUUUCAAGUAUUUAAUAGAGUGAGAAAGCUUACGAAGGACACCAUAGAAUCCGUCCCCAUGAUGACGAGUAAGGCAGAGCAUGAAUUCGUCCAGUACAUCUUUAGUGUCGUAGGUAACUUCACGCACUUGCUUAACCCAUACUUGGAGUUCAAGGUCACACUCUUCCAUUGCAUCAGCUACUCUCAAGAACGCCCUCAUGCGUUCCAAUUCAUCUCUGACGCACUCAGCUUCUUCCCUUAUUCCUCCCAAGAGUUCUUACUCUUCUCGAAGGAAGAUUGUCUGGUGGUCGAGCAGAAAAGUUAGUGAAAUCUCAGCCAUUUUCUCUUAUCUUCUUAAUUUCUCCCAGAGAAGAAUAGAUAGAAAAUAGAUUUCAAUUGCCAGACUUUCCAGAUGGAAUUUCAGAUUUUGGUAGAACCGGAUUGGUAUGUGGUAAUUAUUUAGGUUGAUUCUACUUAUCAAAAAAAAAAAUUAUUUAGGUUGAUUCCAGCUCAAAGCCAAAAAAUGGGCAUUGCUCCAGAAAAUCUUGACAAGACAUUUAAAUGAUAUCUGCUUUGAAUUUCAAAUUUUGGUUGACCCUUUUUUGAUACCUUUUUUUUUUUUUUUUUUUCUUCGCAUUUAUCAAUUUUACAAUGACAUUCAUUAUUCAUCAGUUAAACUCGGGGUAUCUUGUCAAUACAAACUUACUCAACAAUUUUAUAUCGCUUAUGUAACAACUGUAACAACUAACUUACAUUGCUUAAGUAACAACUUUACAUUGCUGAUUCGUAACUGAUAUAUUGUUUGCGUAACCAAUGUAUUGUUUUGUGUAAGCAUAAGAUCCAAACAUAAGAGGUGAUCCUUAUUCAUUUUUAUAGAAUUGUCUUUUAUAAUUCUCUCAAAACUGUUUUAUAUAUUUUGAGUUCUUGAAUUUUAUUUUUCAAGUACAACACAAUUAAGUCUAGUUCUUUAGUGCAUCAUCAACUUUUGGGACUUACACUGUCCUGAUAUAUAUUAAAUACCAACACAAUUAAAUCUAGUUCUUUUUUUUUUUUUUUUUAGAGCAAUUUCAAGGCGAAAAUGACAAUUAGUAAGAAAUUUGGCAGUUAUCUGGGUAGAAAGUUGGUUAUUAUGAGCAGCUUCAAGUUACAUAAUAUAUAGGAACUGCAAUAUAUAUAUAUAUAUAUAUAUAUAUAGAUAAGUUGUUAGAUCUUGAUGGUUGAAAAUAAUGUUGCAUUUUGAAGCACUAAUUCCUUUGUAAUUGAAAUUAAAGAAAACUUAAAUUAAAUUUUCAAUAAAAUUUCUCUGAUUUCAAUUUUGAAACGCUUUAUGCUUAUGCAGUGCUCCCUAACAUAGCUUAAUUAAAUUUUGUACCCUAAUGUGACACAGCUGGAUUGGUACAAAAUUAUGCAUGAUGGUAUAACCAUUGUUUGGACAAUCUUGAUAUACAUUUCAUCAUUUUGUGUCAAUUCAUCUUGAUAGACAUUAAAUACUUGUGGACUUUUUCUUUCUGGACAAUACUUGUCUACCUUUUUUAAUUUUAUUUCGACAGAUACUACUUAUCUACUCACCCGCAUUUUGACUACUAAUAUUUUUUGGAAGAGUACUAAAUCACUACGAAGGGAGUAAGUUGUUCGCGAAGCAAUUGUUUUUUAGGUUAGCGACUCGUUUGCAAGACGGUGGGAGUGAGUUUGAGGUCUGGAGCAACUCGGCUUGGUUGUGUUUGAGUUUAGCAAUGUGGUUUCUUUGCUUCAAUCCAGUAGAAUGCUUUAAUAUGGAUUAUUAAUUUUGUGGUUUUUUCUCAUUGAGAUUUCAUAAAUAUAAAUCUGGUAUGUUUUGGAGCAAUGCUACACAGCUCAAAAAUUCGUGGUAUGUAUCUCGAAUUUGAAAGACGUAUAUGUCUUUAAUUUUAAUAGAUAUUACACUUUUUCUUUCUUGUUGAAA